UACGAAGGGUGCAAGCGUUACUCGGAAUUACUGGGCGUAAAGCGUGCGUAGGUGGUUCGUUAAGUCUGUCGUGAAAGCCCCGGGCUCAACCUGGGAAUUGCAUUUGAGACUGAAUAGCUAGGGUGCGGAAGAGGGAAGCGGAAUUUCCGGUGUAGCGGUGAAAUGCGUAGAUAUCGGAAGGAACACCAGUGGCGAAAGCGGCUUCCUGGUCCAGCACCGACGUUCAGGCACGAAAGCGUGGGGAGCAAACAGG
rnacentral:rRNA from 1 species